GUGGGGAAUCUUCCGCAAUGGACGAAAGUCUGACGGAGCGACGCCGCGUGAGUGAAGAAGGCCUUCGGGUCGUAAAGCUCUGUCAUCAGGGACGAACGGCCGGUGGAGUGGAAAGCCACCGGAUUGACGGUACCUGAGAAGGAAGCCACGGCUAACUACGUGCCAGCAGCCGCGGUAAUACGUAGGUGGCAAGCGUUGUCCGGAAUUAUUGGGCGUAAAGCGCGCGCAGGUGGGAUCUUAAGUCCAUUUUGAAAGUUCGGAGCUCAACUCCGUGAUGGGAUGGAAACUGGGAUUCUUGAGUACCGGAGAGGAAAGCGGAAUUCCCCGUGUAGCGGUGAAAUGCGUAGAUAUGGGGAGGAACACCAGUGGCGAAGGCGGCCACCUGGACAGGUACUGACGCUGAGGCGCGAAAGCGUGGGGAGCAAACAGGAUUAGAUACCCUGGUAGUCC
rnacentral:rRNA from 1 species